rnacentral:lncRNA from 1 species
AAAUGCCUAGAAUAGGCAUAAUCAUGUUUUCAUGAUUUAAGAGUGCUCAAUUAACAAGUCCUUACUCCAUGUUUUAUGAUUUCACGUGAAUUCCAUGUUGUGUGAAUAAAGUUCGAAUCUUUACAUGUUGUUCAUGAUACCAUGAUAUUUUGUGGAUUCAAUUGGUGGAAUUGAGUUGAAUUAUGGUGUUAUGGUGUAUAAAAUUGAUCAUUAGGCCUAUGCCCUAAAUAGUGCAUGCAAGGUGUUUGUUAAAAUGCCUAAAUGAAGAAGAAUUGAGCACUUUGAC